rnacentral:rRNA from 1 species
AUUGAACGCUGGCGGCAGGCCUAACACAUGCAAGUCGAGCGAGCGGCGGACGGGGGAGUAAUGUAUGGGGACUGCCCGAUAGAGGGGGAGAACUACUGGAAACGGGAGCUAAUACCGCCUACUGUCGGAUAACCCAUAUGGGAUUAGCUAGUAGGGGAGGUAAUGGCUCACCUGGGCGACUAUCCCUAGCUGGUCUGAGAGGAUGAUCAGCCACACUGGGACUGGGACACGGCCCAGACUCCUACGGCGGCAGCAGUGGGGAAUAUUGCACAAUGGGCGCAAGCCUGAUGCAGCCAGGCCGCGUGUAUGAAGAAGGCCCUAGGGUUGUAAAGUACUUUCAGUCGGGAGGCGUUACCGACAGAAGAAGCACCGGCUAACUCCGUGCCAGCCGCCGCGGUAAUUC